rfam:Ictidomys tridecemlineatus contig023246, whole genome shotgun sequence.
GGGGUUGUGGCUCAGCGGUAGAGCACUUGCCUAGCAUGUGUGAGGCCCUGGGUUCGAUCCUCAGCACCA